UGUUACCGUGAUGCUUCGGGUUUCUUCAUUGGUGUGACUGAUGGGGAAUAAUAGGGAAUAUGGUGCGGUAAUUUGCCUGGCAAACUGCCAAAUCCAUAACUGCCCCCGCAACUGUAAGUGCCGGUUGCCUCCUUGAUGUCACUGGGGUUCACCCCCGGGAAGACGGAAUGGCAACAAUCGGCACAAGUCAGGAGACCUGCCCGAAUUUUUGUCACUGA
rnacentral:ncRNA from 2 species